AGGGGCAGUGAAUCAUUUAACCUCCGAGAGUAUCAUGGGGGCCGGAAACAGCUGAGUCCUAUUUGCACAGAUACUUAAGCAUAUGCUGCGGAUGCGCAGCACAAAGCCCCCUGGACGGAAGCCGUCUAAACCUUAACCCAGUUAUGUAAACUGCUUGCCCUUAGAGUGUAUUCAUGAAAACUGACGUACUUUUAAUCAAAUAAACUAAGAAGAAAGAAGGCAAUUGAAUAUUAGAAACUCAAAUCUUUAUGUCAGUUUUCCUGUGUAUAUGUUUUUAUAUGAAAAGCGUUGCUAACUGUAGUCAUUAUGUCUUGGUCUGUAUGUUUGUGUGUCUAAGUGUGUAAAUUAAAAAAUGUUUUCCACCUCUGGAGGGUAUUAAUAAAAGUGAUUUAAAGACAAGUGCUUGUGAAAAUUGGGCAUUCUAAAAUUUCCAGAAAAUCUAAUAAAAAAUAUUAAGCAUUUAUGCUAAUUUAAGCUUAACUGAAAUGGACAUGUCCUUAUAGUUAUCAGCUGCCAGAGUUUACUUUAAGUCAUUUAAGUUGAUGUUACCUGUUAAAUAUUUCAAGAAGAUGCUUGAAGAAAAGCUUGACUUUGAUGUGUAGUGAAAGUUUUGUAAGUGACCUAGCAUGGUUGCUAAAAAUAAGUAAACAAGUGCAGCAAAUAAACUUUUUAAUCAUAAUACUGUAUUAAUGUAUAACAGUGUAUAUAUCUGCAAACAGCCUGAGAAUUUUUGUGGUAACCAAAAUUCUUAAAGUUUGCUAAGUUAUAUAGACAUAUUUUGUGCUUAAUGAGAAAUUGUGCUGUAAGACAGUUGCCAAAAAUGAUAAAAUAUGUUCAUAAAUGUAUCAAUCUGAAGAAUGCUGGUGUAACAGUUUACAGUGGCCUAUUUUUCAGUGUUCACUGAAGGUUAAAGUAUCAAAUGGUUUUAAGUUCUAAUGAAAACUACUUAAUAUAAUAAGGAAAAUAUUUUGGUAUGUUAAAGAUGUGUGUUUUAAUAAGAGAAAGUAUAAAGAAUGGAAAUUUGUUUUGUUGAGGGUAAAAGAAGGUAAUUGUUCUAAAGUACAGCUAUUUAUUUAAAGGGGGAGAACACUGAAUGUAAGAGGAAGGUUGUGGAAAGCUUGUGGAGUUGAUAUGGUCAUGCUAUGUGAAGUUAAAGCAAGUGAGUCUUGAUGUUAAGUACACAGCAAAAUUGGAGUUUUGUUUUCAGUUGGAAAGACAAAGUUUUCUUUAACCAUUAGUCUGCUCUUAAUAUUGAAAGAUUGCAAAGGGUUCUCUAAUUGUUUUAUCAAAACAGUUUCUUAUGCUUAAAGUCUCAAUGAAUUGUCUGAGUAUUUAAGAAAAUGAGAUCUUAAUAUUAAAAAGACAGUAAACUAAGUGUUGUUAACUAUGUAACCUGCCUUUGCUUUUAUCAUUCUGGUUAAAUAAUAAGUGUUAUUUAAUAACUAUAAUUCUAUUUAGGCAAGUGCCUUAAAAACUUUUGACAACUUCCCAAGACCAAAUUUUAAAAAGUAUUUUUACUUCUAAUUAACUCUGAUAUUUUCCAGAGGGCCCCUGGAACAUGUCAGAGGAAUUUCUUCUCCUCAUCAAGGAAAAUAUUUGACUAAUUUGGCUUAUUUACCUGAUAUAUACUUACCUAAAAAGUGCUGUCAAAAGGAAUAAUGCUAAAUUUUAUUACUGAAUGUUUUAUGUUACAGAAAUAUCACUCUUCCCCCUAAGACGCUUACUCCUGAUGCCUAAUUAAAUUUACCUGUUAGUACUACUAUAAUCACUGACUGUGUAUAUAUUGAUUGUACUCAUGUAGCCUCUUACUGUAAUUCUACAAAUCAAUUGAAAAUGGUCUUCUGGAUAUAGACCUCCAAAUGGUUGGGUAUUUUUGUGUAAUAACAAAACAUAUCAAGCCCUUUCUUCACACUAUCGAGGUGUUUGUGGUGUGGGAAGCAUUCUUCCUGCUCUACAUCCUGAAUAUAAGCACAAGAGACUUCUCCGAGCUCUGCCAUCUGAUUGUGAUGAAAACUUGAAACUCUGAGAUCCUGCCGCUGUUGCAGUUGCAGCUGCGUUCCUCCUGCCGGUCCCUAGACUUGUCAUUGGAAUGCAGAAAGAGAUAUCUAAGCUGGCCUGUGCAUAUAGCAAAACAACAAAUUUGACUGCUUCUGUAUUAUCUGAACUCAACCAAGAACUGGGAGAAGUGCGAGCUGCGGUGCUUCAGAAUCGCUCUGCUAUAGACUGUCUGCUGUUAAAAGAACAUGUAGGAUGUGAACAAUUUCCAAGAAUGUGCUGUUUCAAUUUGUCUGAUUUUUCUCGAACUACCCAAAAUCAAUUAGAUGAUAUCCAUCAUAUUGUCAAUAAGUUUUUACAAAUGCCUAAGCUAUCUAACUAGUUUUCUUAAUUUCAUUAGAUAUAACUAGUAAUUGUAAGUCUGCCUUUGUUAUGUAUCUGUAUUCCUAUUCUGUUAAUGUGUGUACGCAAUUUAACUAGUAGUUUGUUAAAACCUAUAUAUAUAUUCAAGUUAUGUCUGUCUUUCGACAUGUUC